ensembl:lncRNA
UUUCUCUGUGGUUCAUUGCUGAGGUGCCACUGUAAACUCAGCAUUCUUGUCAUUCUCUUGAUGAUAAUAAAGUCACAGUGACAGCAGGAAUGUGUCAAACAUAAUUCAGAAAACUUCAGUGUUUAAAUAACCAUAUGUACAGAGAUCAAUAUGUUUGCCUGUCUCUGUGUGUACUAUUAUUGUUUUGUUCAUUCUUAGAGACUCUAGGGACAGUCUCUCCACCCAUCAGGUCUAACCCAUGACAGUCUCUCUCCACCAAUCAGGUCUAACCCUUGACCAUCUCUCCAUGUUACCAGUGAAUAUUCAGUCUCUUCACAGCACUUGUUCAGUCUGUCAGGAUGAAGACGAGAGAGGGGAACUAUGAGCAAGAUCUAUCUGGAUUGAGCCCAGAUAUUACAACCAAAACCUUCAAUGCAGGUGUCUAUAUCCAUCUAUUCUCUUCAGUAGAGAGUCAGAAUGAGGAUGUUGUUGGGAAUUCUGUGCUUUUUUCCUGUUUUUACAGUGACAAUAAAAUAAAGUCAAGACAUGACAGUGUAUUGAGACACAAUGAGUGGGAAUAUAUAAGACAUUAUUCAGAAAAAUUAUUUACUUGAUCCAGAAUACAAUUUUUUUUCCCCAGAAGAAUUUCGGAAGAGAAACUUCAGCCGCAUACUCACGUAAGUUUGAGUACUUUACCUCAUUUGAUUAACUGCUGUUCAUUUCACUUAAUAGGAUCAAAUGGCACAUCAGAUGUAAGGAAAAGACCAGCUUAUUUUUUAUUAUUAUAUAUCCAAAUUAAUUAUUGUUCAGUGAACUUUUUCACAGUAUUUUGUAGUCUAACAAAUGAAAGAAAAAAAAAACUUUUGUCAUUUCUUUUAUUGAUGAACUAAAGACAGAUAAUUCAAGACCACUGAGUCAGGUGAAAAUUAUGUAAUAGUCAAUUUGUGUCUCAAGAAUCUUGAACAUAAAGGAACGAAUAUCUAGAGUGCAAUAUAAGACAUUAUUCAGAAAAAUGAUUCACUUGAUCCAGAAUACAAUUUUUUUUUUUUCCAGAAGAAUUUAGAAAGAGAAACUUCAGCCGCAUACUCACGUAAGUUUAAUAAUUUUACCUCAUUUGAUUAACUGCUGUUCAUUUCACUUAAUAGGAUCAAAUGGCACAUCAGAUGUAAGGAAAAGACCAGCUUAUUUUUUAUUAUUAUAUAUCCAAAUUAAUUAUUGUUCAGUGAACUUUUUCACAGUAUUUUGUAGUCUAACAAAUGAAAGAAAAAAAAAACUUUUGUCAUUUCUUUUAUUGAUGAACUAAAGACAGAUAAUUCAAGACAACUGAGAUCAGAAACAUGUUUAUUAUUACUAAUGAUGAAAAUUCAGUAGAAGAUCAAGUGUCAGGUGAAAAUCAUGUAAUAGUUAAUUUGUGUCUCAAAAAUCUUGAACAUAAAGGGACGAAUAUCUAGAGUGCAGUUCUUUCAUUCUGUUUUUAAUUGAUUAAUUUAUUAAUAGAACAAAUGAGUCUUACAACAUGUUUCUACAGACAUACAGGGAGGGAUUACUUUAAAAGAGACACAUUAAUAUACCAAAUAGAAUGUAGAAGAAAAUAAACAAAUAAAAAAGAAAAGAAAAAUAAAGAAA